UACGUAGGGGGCUAGCGUUGUCCGGAAUCAUUGGGCGUAAAGAGCGUGUAGGCGGCCCGGUAAGUCCGCUGUAAAAGUCCAGGGCUCAACCCUGGGAUGCCGGUCGAUACUGCCGGACUAGAGUUCGGAAGAGGCGAGUGGAAUUCCCGGUGUAGCGGUGAAAUGCGCAGAUAUCGGGAGGAACACCUAUGGCGAAGGCAGCUCGCUGGGACGUUACUGACGCUGAGACGCGAAAGCGUGGGGAGCAAACAGG
rnacentral:rRNA from 1 species